rnacentral:sRNA from 1 species
UACAGCCUCAAGGACUAUGAAUCUUGCGGCUUCUCUAUGGCAAGAUUCCGUAAUCUUCGAUUUUUAUUAGCAAGGAGGUGUAGCAGCAUGGUAAAGGGAACCGUUAAGUGGUUCAAUGAAUCCAAGGGUUUUGGAUUCAUCACCAAGGAAGACGGCGGAGAUGUUUUUGUUCACUAUUCUGAAAUUCAGGGUAAUGGGUUUAAAUCCCUGUCCGAAGGUCAGGCAGUGAGCUUCGAAGUUGUUGAUGGUCCUAAGGGUCCAAAAGCAGCAAACGUUACAAAACUCUAAGCCAAAAAUGCAGGUCCCGAUUUAUCGGGACCUGCAUU